CAAGACGUCCUUCUCCCUCCCGUGGGGAGGAGGAGGUGGAAUAUGCAUUGGCCACACUCAAAGCAUGAAAAAAUGUGGUGCCACCUUUACUGAGGAUGGCUUAGCAGCUUGUUUGGCAAGCAGUCCCAUCAAAUCCAGUGAGCAGCUAAGCUGUAACAAUAGCUUCUGUCCUGAGCGAGGAGCAGCAUGAAGCUGUGUGACCCUGGGAGCAGGCAUCCAGAGAACCACAAUCCCCACCUGGCCCUGGGAGAAGGUGCUUCACUUCUUGUCUUUACUAUGCACCAGGCUAACUGAUCUGGGCAGAGUAAGUAGAAACAAGAGGUCCUCCUUCCUCUGCCCCUCUGUGCCCACCGUCUCACAGUGGGAAGUAGCCACGGCUCCCCCCCAUCUCAGUCAGACCCGAGCCAGGGCAAUACAGGCUAUGAUAAUCAAAGAUGAUCCUGGCUGUAUGCAUGUGAGGCAGAACCAGGCCCUUGGAAGAUGUGCAAGGAACAAACUUUUACAAGAGUGUAUUGCAGAGAUGAGAAGGGGAGACAUUAAUCAUAUUUAAUGAGGAUCCAAUAUAAUAUCCCCGUAUUGGAGAUAAAAUGUGCAACUGUGGGUAGGGAAGCAGCGACGGACAGAAGCAAUGCAGAGAGAACUGGGCACGGCACCUCCUGCAAAAUUAAAGAGGAUCAUUUGCUUGUGAUGCAGUAGUUAGAAGGUAAAUGCAAUCUUGGGAUUCAUAACCAGGGGCGUUGUGUGUAAGGGCAGGGAAGUAAUCCUUUCCCUCUAGCACAAGGCUAGUUAAACUGCAGCUGGAGUCAUGCAGAAGGUUUUAGGCAACGUACGGCAGAAAGGAGAGAGAGAAAUAGCUAGGAGAGUAGAUGGCAGCCACUAGAAUGAUAAAGGGUUUAGAGGGAAUGACUGUGAGGAAAGAGAUUAGGGAAAAUUAAACUUGUACAGGCUGGAAAAAGAGGCUGUGGGGGAAUAUGAUUUUGGCCAAUGAGUACAGACAGACGCUGCAAAGAAGCAGAAAAUUGUUCUCGUUAUUUAACAGGGAAGAAAGAGCCUAGAAACAAUGGAGGGAAAAUGAGCAAGAGGCUAGAAUGGCUUAAAGGGCCAGAAAGAUAUUGAUGGUGGUGCCAAGAGGUGCCAGGGGAAUGGAGCCCAAGUUGCGGCAGCUCACCACGUUCUGGCUGGGUAGAUACCUACUGGUCAUGGGGAUGGGGCCUCCGGCAGCUGGAGAACAAGGCUGUGGGAUCUCUGUGAGCAAAUUGCUUUGUUCUGCUGUGCCUCAGUUUCCCCAGCAUUAACCUGAGAUCAGUGAGUCCUUUCCAAGGGGGUUGCUUGGCUUCGAGUGUGCGAUGGCUGGGAGCUUCCGAAGAUGCCAUUGAGCUGCAGCAGGAGAUGGGCAUCUAAUGCCUCGAGGAUCCUUUGAUCAUAGAUGUUUCCUUUCCUUGAGAAUGGCUAAGCAUUCAUCUGUAGGUACCCCUAGCAAGUCCAGAGGAAAUGAAGGAUCCCGUUUUAAACUGAGAACUGGGGUCAGCUGGAUGCUUCCAGCAACACCGAAAGCCACGGAUACGGAAUCCAAACUCUGAGUGGGGUCACAGCAGCUUCAGGAUAGCAGGGAGGAGAAUCAAGGGAGGAGAAAGUGGCUCACUAGCAAAUAUCCAAAGCAGAGCAGGAGUGUUGACUCCCAAGUGCCUUGAGAAGCAGCUGGUGAAAUCGCGUGUGAAAUAUCACAGCAUUACGGCAAGAGCGGUGAUGAGGUGUAAGGCUGUGAUUGUAAUAAGGACAGACGUGGGUCUUUACCGCGUUCAGGCAGAUGCUUUGAUUGACUGGCUGAGGCUC